GACGAACGCUGGCGGCGUGCCUAACACAUGCAAGUCGAACGAGGUCCAUGCAGCGGCAACACUGCGGAAGACCUAGUGGCGAACGGGUGAGUAACACGUGAGGAACCUGCCCCGAAGACCGGGAUAACCCUCCGAAAGGAGAGCUAAUACCGGAUACCCCCACCUGAUCGCAUGAUCGGGUGAGGAAAUGGAUUCCGCUUCGGGAGGGCCUCGCGGCCUAUCAGCUUGUUGGUGGGGUAACGGCCCACCAAGGCAUCGACGGGUAGCUGGUCUGAGAGGACGAUCAGCCACACUGGGACUGAGACACGGCCCAGACUCCUACGGGAGGCAGCAGUGGGGAAUCUUGCGCAAUGGGCGAAAGCCUGACGCAGCAACGCCGCGUGGGGGAUGAAGGCUCUCGGGU
rnacentral:rRNA from 1 species